rnacentral:rRNA from 1 species
CUUGGAGGAAUGUAUAGCGAAAGCUAGUUGCAUUAAAUUCGAUUAAUUCGAAGUUAAUGCAUCAUCGACUAUGUCGAAUAAAGUUCUAGGUAGAGUUAUGAUAAUGACAUUUUCUAUCUAUGUGUCUUGACCAAAUCACGUGCCAGCAGUCGCGGUAAUACGUGGAAGACUAGUGUUAUUCAUCUUUAAUAGGUUUAAAGGGUACUUAGACGGUAAAUUAAGCCCAGAUAAAAACAAAGGGUACUAAUAUACUAGAGUUUUAUAAGAGGAGGGUGUGUACUAGUGGUGUAGAGAUGAAAUUCUGUCAUACCAUUAGACAGGCAACGGCGAAAGCAACCUUUA